rnacentral:rRNA from 1 species
GAUUUCUGGUUUGACGCGUUUGGCCCUCCCGGGUUUCCACUCGGUGUGCGUGCCGAUGCGCGUCUGCCAUCCUUGUAGAGAACGUUUCUACCCUUCACUGGGCCGGAUUCGCGAUCUACAUCUUUUACUUUGAAAAAAUUAGAGUGUUUAAAGCAGGCUUUUGCUAUGAAUACAUUAGCAUGGAAUAAUAAUCUAGGACUUCGGUUCUAUUUUGUUGGUUUCUAUAACUGAAGUAAUGAUUGAUAGGGAUAGUUGGGGGUGCUAGUAUUGGCCGGCCAGAGGUGAAAUUCUUGGAUUCGGUCAAGACUAACUUAUGCGAAAGCAUU